rfam:Salmo salar isolate Sally breed double haploid chromosome ssa08, whole genome shotgun sequence.
UGGCUCAGUUGGUAGAGCAUGGUGUUUACAAUGCCAGGGUUGUGGGUUCGAUUCCCAU